rnacentral:rRNA from 1 species
UACGAAGGGUGCUAGCGUUGUUCGGAAUUACUGGGCGUAAAGCGCACGUAGGCGGACUACUAAGUCAGGGGUGAAAUCCCGGGGCUCAACCCCGGAACUGCCUUUGAUACUGAUAGUCUCGAGUCCGGAAGAGGUGAGUGGAAUUCCGAGUGUAGAGGUGAAAUUCGUAGAUAUUCGGAGGAACACCAGUGGCGAAGGCGGCUCACUGGUCCGGUACUGACGCUGAGGUGCGAAAGCGUGGGGAGCAAACAGG